UCCGAGUCUCAAGUACCCGAAACAUGUCUGUUGUAGGUCCUCCAUUACAGGACUAGAUGGGGCACUGAACACGAUCUGUAAGACGUUUGCCAGUGUGUUUAUCGUCGAUGACAUCGGCUGCAUUUGGUUAAAGUGCAAACAAUUUCAUUCAGCUAGCAGAAAAUGAAUA